rnacentral:SRP_RNA from 1 species
GCCGAGCUCAGUUGCGAGAGCUUGUAACUCGAGUGGGGGCAUUAAGGUGAUGUGAACGCUGUUGUAGUGCUGCGGGUUUGGUCUAGGUGUGCUACUGCUGGCCCGCCCGUUCCAAGUUGUGUAGUGGACCACCUGGGGCCUAUGCGAAAGCUGGGCCUCACGGUCCAUGGGCCUCACGGUCCAUAAUGUGGCAGGCACAGCGUGAGGCUGGCUUCCAGUGGACCAUCACUUUUUUGUGCGUGUCUUUUUUCCAACCAUCACGACAGUGGUUGUGAGGUUGAUUUUGACCUAGUUAGUGUUUCUUCUAUUUCACCUUC